AGAGUUUGAUCCUGGCUCAGAACGUACGCUGGCGGCACGCCUAACACAUGCAAGUCGAACGCAGUAGCAAUACUGAGUGGCAAACGGGUGAGUAUAAUGUGGGAAUCUGCCUUUUGGUUCGGAAUAACACGAGGAAACUUGUGCUAAUACCGGAUAAGCCUUUACAGGGAAAGUUUUAAUGCCAAAAGAUGAGCCCGCACUUGAUUAGCUAGUUGGUAAGGUAAUAGCUUACCAAGGCUACGAUCAAUAGCUGUUCUUAGAGGAAGACCAGCCACAUUGGGACUGAGACACGGCCCAAACUCCUACGGGAGGCAGCAGUGGGGAAUCUUGCACAAUGGGGGAAACCCUGAUGCAGCGAUGCCGCGUGAGUGAAGAAGGCCUUUGGGUUGUAAAACUCUUUCGUCGGGGAAGAAAAUGACUGUACCCGAAUAAGAAGGUCCGGCUAACUUCGUGCCAGCAGCCGCGGUAAUACGAAGGGACCUAGCGUAGCUCGGAAUUACUGGGCUUAAAGAGUUCGUAGGUGGUUAAAAAAGUUGAUGGUGAAAUCCCAAGGCUCAACCUUGGAACUGCCAUCAAAACUUUUUAGCUAGAGUAUGAUAGAGGAAAGUGGAAUUUCUAGUGUAGAGGUGGAAUUCGUAGA
rnacentral:rRNA from 1 species